CCUACGGGAGGCAGCAGUGAGGAAUAUUGGUCAAUGGGCGCGAGCCUGAACCAGCCAAGUAGCGUGAUGGAUGACUGCCCUACGGGUUGUAAACUUCUUUUAUAUAGGAAUAAAGUGUUCCACGUGCGCCUUUUUGUAUGUACCCUAUGAAUAAGGAUCGGCUAACUCCGUGCCAGCAGCCGCGGUAAUACGGAGGAUCCGAGCGUUAUCCGGAUUUAUUGGGUUUAAAGGGAGCGUAGGUGGGUUGUUAAGUCAGUUGUGAAAGUUUGCGGCUCAACCGUAAAAUUGCAGUUGAUACUGGCAGUCUUGAGUACAGUAGAGGUAGGCGGAAUUCGUGGUGUAGCGGUGAAAUGCUUAGAUAUCACGAAGAACUCCGAUUGCGAAGGCAGCUUACUAGACUGCAACUGACACUGAUGCUCGAAAGUGUGGGUAUCAAACAGGAUUAGAUACCCCAGUAGUC
rnacentral:rRNA from 1 species